AGCCAAACUCCAGACCACAGCAGCAACCAGCUGGAAGAUCAGUGCAACACAUAUGCUUCUCUGAUCCCAGGUGAAUCUGAUAAUGCGACAUAUUCUUCAUUAGAGGUCAAGAAUGGUGAAUAUUUGUUGAAUGAAAAUCCCUAUGAGACAAUCCCAGAGGCUGAUUCCACUGACAGAGGUGAAUCUGAUAAUGUGACAUAUUCUUCAAUAGAGCUUCAAAAAGUCAAGAAUGUGAAGAAGAACAAACCAGAAGAGAGCAACAUUUAUUGAUGUGAAGACCACAUCUUCUGAAGAUUUCAUGUAGAAGAAAGCAAAGAUCUCUCUCUCUCUCUCUCUCUCUCUCUCUCUCUCUCUCUCUCUCUCUCUC